rnacentral:rRNA from 1 species
AUCCUGGCUCAGGAUGAACGCUGGCGGCGUGCCUAACACAUGCAAGUCGAACGGAGUUCUUGAGGAAUGCGACUUCGGUCAAAUGACUUUUGAACUUAGUGGCGGACGGGUGAGUAACGCGUGAGCAACCUGCCUUUCAGAGGGGGAUAACAUUUGGAAACAGAUGCUAAUACCGCAUAAGAUUACAGUACCGCAUGAUACAGUGAUCAAAGGAGCAAUCCGCUGAAAGAUGGGCUCGCGUCCGAUUAGAUAGUUGGUGAGGUAACGGCUCACCAAGUCGACGAUCGGUAGCCGGACUGAGAGGUUGAACGGCCACAUUGGGACUGAGACACGGCCCAGACUCCUACGGGAGGCAGCAGUGGGGAAUAUUGCACAAUGGGCGAAAGCCUGAUGCAGCAACGCCGCGUGAGGGAAGACGGUUUUCGGAUUGUAAACCUCUGUUUUCGGUGACGAACAAAUGACGGUAACCGAGUAGGAAGCCACGGCUAACUACGUG